GUGUUAUAUAUGUGAAAUGUUUACUAACUGGAAACAAAUGUUUACAUUGGAUAAACUACCUCCUAAAAAGUCCAUUUCCUCUGUUCAUGCAAAUGUUGCUAUUUGUGCGGAGUGGAAGGGCAUUUCUACUUCUCCUACCACAAAAGCUGUAUUUCUUUCAAUAUUAAGGUUAAUGAGGGCUGGGGCCCUGUAAUCUACAUGAGUAGGUUAAUUCUCAUGUGUCCUAGAUAGUUGAGAGAGAAAGAGAUUUAGAACUUUGGCUGAAGGGAGAUGCACACACUGCCUGCAGUGAAUGCAUGCAAAGAAGCAAAGAACACUCUGUAGAAGGAUCUCUAUACCUCAGCUCCUCCAUCUACAAGGCAGAGAUGCUGAAUGUGACCCCAUCCUCCCCUGUGCAUGAAUGAGAAGUUCCAGUUCAAAGGGAAGAGAGCCCAGAACCCCAACAACUGAAGAGAGCCAGUCUUGAACUCUUUAUCUGCCUGGUCAGUGUUGCUUGCAUCGAUUGCACAUCAACUGAACUUCUACCAUCAGGCUCACUGGUGGCCAAAAGUAUACUUCUACAAUCUCUCCAAUGCUUUUAUCCUGUAGCUUCCAAAUGAGAGUUUGGUUGCCAUGGCAACAGCCAAGUUCCGCCAGAAGGAGAAAUUCCUUGUAUAAUGAGCCCAGACCUUGUGAAAAUAAAGGAAAUCUCAUCUAAAAUGGAGCGGGGGAAGCCCUGAAGGGGGAGCUCUCGUGCAUAUACCACUCUUUGAAGCCACUGUAACCAGCGGGAAGGAGGAUCAGAAUUAUUCUGGCAAAGGAGGACAUUUUUCACAUAGGAAUUUUGUCUCCUGCAUUUAAGAAAAGGAAAGAAGAUCCCUUCCUGCCCCAGCAACAUUGCAGUAACCCCCACUUGUAGCCAAUAAGAAACCACUUGAAUUCUUGUUCUUCUCCCAUAAACUUCAGUUCUAAGCCACGCUCCUACAAUAUCCUCCUAAAACCCAAUAAAAGCUGACCUUCCCUUUGUCCCUUUGGACUUGCUAAUGGAUCACCAUGGCCUGCUUGUCCCAAAUUGUAAUUCUUCUGUUAUUUCUGAAUAAAGUCGGGUUUUCUUUGCUUAAA